GUCUCUUGAGAAGAAUCUCUUGAAGGACAAUCUCUAAGGAAGUCUCUCAAGGAAGGCUGACUCUGGCUGGAACUUCCUCUGGGGAAACUCUGUCCCCUUGAAUCCUCGCUUGAACAGAUCUUAUGGAUCAUACAUUUGGAAUCAGAACCUUAGAGGUCUAUAGGAUCAGAGUUUUGAAGCAGGAAGAGACCUUCCAGGUUAUGUCUUUCAACUCCCUCCUUUUAAAGAGUGAAGCCUACCUUUCUGCAAUGUCCACAUGGAUCUGCCUUUUGGGGUCAUGUAGAAGAAAUCUAAUCUCUCUUUGCAUAAAUAGUUUUCCAAAUAUAUGAUUUAAACUCUUCCAUUCCCUUUCUGGUUUCUCUUCCCGAGGCCAAACAUCCUCAGGUCCUUUGCCUUAACUUUAUGUUGUCUGGCUUCCAGUUCUUUUAAACAGUCACUAGGGGAGAACAUUCCAAUUUUCCUAAUUCAUCAGCUGAGUUUUGAAAUGAUUGAUUUGAUGGUUAAUUUCCAAUGGUUAUUAAGGAAAAAUGCUUUAAAAAUCAGAAGCAAGUUUUUUUUUUUCUUUUUAACAAAGAAAUGUUAAUCAGAGAUUUACAGCUGAGCUCUUACAACCCAACAGAUGGUAUUUUGUAGCACAUGCCCAAGACACAUUAUUUUCAUUCUUGGCUGCUCAGAGAAUACAAAAUGUGUCUCCUCUGAAUCCCAAGUCAACCCUCAAUGAAGUCUUCUAACCUUUUGUGUCAUUGGAAGGUUGAGGCAGACAGUGAAGGUGUGCCUUUGUUGGGUUAAGCGUAGGUUUUCCCUGAUUGUCCGACAUGUUUCAUGGUAACCAACCCAACUGGCAUACAUACCCUACUAUCCAAAGAGCUGAGGUUCCAAAUUUCCAAAGGGAAGGGCACUUUUGACCACUGCAUUAUGCACAGUUAAAAUUACAACUGUCUUCUGGGAGUUUCCAUCC
rnacentral:lncRNA from 1 species